rnacentral:rRNA from 1 species
GACGAACGCUGGCGGCGUGCUUAACACAUGCAAGUCGAACGGAAAGGCCCCCUUGUGGGGUACUCGCGUGGCGAACGGGUGAGUAACACGUGAGUAACCUACCCUUGACUUUGGGAUAACUUCAGGAAACUGGGGCUAAUACCGGAUAGGAGCUCCUGCUGCAUGGUGGGGGUUGGAAAGUUUCGGCGGUUGGGGAUGGACUCGCGGCUUAUCAGCUUGUUGGUGGGGUAGUGGCUCACCAAGGCUUUGACGGGUAGCCGGCCUGAGAGGGUGACCGGCCACAUUGGGACUGAGAUACGGCCCAGACUCCUACGGGAGGCAGCAAUGGGGAAUAUUGCACAAUGGGCGGAAGCCUGAUGCAGCAACGCCGCGUGCGGGAUGACGGCCUUCGGGUUGUAAACCGCUUUCGCCUGUGACGAAGCGUGAGUGACGGUAAUGGGUAAAGAAGCACCGGCUAACUACGUG